rnacentral:rRNA from 1 species
UCGGGAAUUUUGCACAAUGGGGGAAACCCUGAUGCAGCAACGCCGCGUGAGUGAUGACGGCCUUCGGGUUGUAAAGCUCUGUCUUCAGGGACGAUAAUGACGGUACCUGAGGAGGAAGCCACGGCUAACUACGUGCCAGCAGCCGCGGUAAUACGUAGGUGGCAAGCGUUGUCCGGAUUUACUGGGCGUAAAGGGAGCGUAGGCGGACUUUUAAGUGAGAUGUGAAAUACCCGGGCUCAACCUGGGUGCUGCAUUUCAAACUGGAAGUCUAGAGUGCAGGAGAGGAGAGUGGAAUUCCGAGUGUAGCGGUGAAAUGCGUAGAGAUUAGGAAGAACACCAGUGGCGAAGGCGACUCUCUGGACUGUAACUGACGCUGAGGCUCGAAAGCGUGGGGAGCAAACA